CCCUAAUACGUGUCCCUCCCUUAUUGUUAUUUAGGGCCCCCACCCGCCGCACCGGGGUGGGGGCCGGAUAGUAUUUUUUUUUGGUUUUUUUUACAGCCACAGGCUGCUCGCUGUUUAGUGGACAUGCCCCUACUCGCGGUAUAGCAAGUAGGGGCAUUGGGGAGAUUUUAAUCUCCCUUAUGCUAUUAUGGGUGUCAUAUUGACCCCCAUAGAGUGAGGGGGGACAUAGGAAGUGGUGGGGAGCACUGCACUCUGAGGCUUCUAUCUUUACAUAUUACAAGGAGGGAGCUGUGUGCCGGUAGCUCCUUCCUUGUAAUAA